ACCCGGCGGGGACGAGGCGGGCGCGAGUUACCUGGCGGCAGCGGCAGCGCGGGCGGAGACUCCGGCUCUUUUGUUCCUCAGCGGCCAAAAUGGCGGCGCCGAGCGGGGCGCCCCCUCCCCCCACCCGGCCGCAGAUCUCCUGGACUCUCAGACUGCGAGGAUGAAUUCAGAAGCCUGCUGCCCUUUAUACUGAACUCCCACUCACUCCCCGAGUCCUCUGUGCUCACUCUGUCUGGGGCCUCUCUCCUCUGUCACGUGGUAAAGCAAAACUAGUCUCCCGAGGAAAUUGUGCCUUUUAUGUUUGAGCUGAGAAGCACAAACAGAUCUAGGGACUUUCCCCUGGGCAGGCUGAGUCAGGGGCCGUGCCCGUACUGAAACUCAGCUGACAUUUACUGACAUUCACCAUAAGAACAGACAUUUGAGUCGCAUCCACUUCCCACAAGUCAGUGCAAACAGGGAACUGGAGAUUCUUCGGCAUCCCAAGGCCUCUCUGCAAACACUGCACUCAAGGAGUCCCUGGGUCAGAAGAGGCCUCCAAGUGAACUCCAGACCUGCCUCUAACCAGCUGGAAGAUUGAGGAUUUAGCAGAGCAUCUAGGGCCACAUUUCCUACAGCCUCUCAGCACAGACUAGGACUUACAAAGGCACAGCAGCAGAUUUCACAUUUAACUCCUAUUGAAUUCAAUGGGGCUGAGUGCAUGUUUUUCAUAAGGGCAGCGCUUUCUGGCUGGAGACGCUAUUGAGCACGCCGGUUCCACCCAUCCUGCAGGCACACCCAACACCCAGAAACAUGCUGGCAAGGUCACAGUGGAGAUGGAGGCUUUCAGAGUGACUGCAGAGUAACACCCCAAGAACCUCACUGACAGAUCCACGGGGCAUGGCACCAGGAAGUUGCAAUCAGCUCUGGAGACGGCUGCAGCAGCCAUUCGAGUGCAGCACUGCAGAUUACAGCGCAUCUCGUGAGGAUGGUGCUGUAGCAGGUACAGGAAGCAUUCUGGCCAAGGACACCAGAGGGAAAGCCCAGAUCUUUCCGAAAGUGCCCUGGAAUCUUAUUAUCCAGGCACACUAGGCAGGAGCUUGGCUUCCCUCUAAUCUCCUGCAUAUCCCCUCAAGAAGGAAUGCCAUCUGGUGCGGUGUCCAACAGGCCUUCAUCCCAGCCCAGCGCUGCAGCAGCAUUGGCAGUCUGAAACCAUGCACCAGAUCUCACGCUGCUGUUUAGGAGUAUGUAGAAGCCCAUCAAAAAGCCCUUUUGCGGGUGUAUUCAGGGCCUUUGCAUUGCGUUGCAGGUGCAGCUACUCCACACUCACAGAAGUAGGCCACAAGAGGAGUAAACCCACUCCUCCCAUGUUCUCUGGCUCCCCAGAGGCUAAAUGAAGCAGCUUCAGUUUUUAUGCCCCUGCCACUGAAGCAGUGAAACAGCAUGUUGUGAACAUAUGGCCAGGGGAACAGAGUGGCCCCCGACAUGGUGAGUUAUUGCUCUGUCUGCUCUAGAGGACAGAAAUGUCAUGUGCCUGCACCUCACAUGCUCUCUGCAACACAGAUGACUUUGCCGGCCCCUACCCCAUGCUGGAACUGCUCUGAUGACCCCUGCUGCUAGGCUUCACCUCAGUGGACAGGGAGGAGCUGGAACACCAUGAUAAUGGGCAUGUAACGAGCACCUAAAGAUGAAACACAGAGGGGUGAGUGCUGUGCUCACUCUCCAGACUAGGGGCAUUUCAAGGAGUUGGGCAUCUCUCCCAGGCAUCUCUCAAGGGCUCUAGGAGAAAAAUGCUCCCUCAUGGUCAGAGGUGUCAUGCUGAUAGAUGCCUGGCCAAGCUUUUUCUAGGUCUCCUACGAACUGCAUCACCGAGUGCUCUUGGGCAUUAUCAUUCAGUUGCUUCAGGAUGUUCUGAUCCUCCUCUGCCUGCCUGGAUGUGAUUAUCAGCCAGGAACACCUGGUCCCUGGUAGCAGCUGGCAAAGUCCUAGGACAAGGGACCUGAGUCAUCCAUUACCUGCAAUAAAGACAAUAGAUCAGAAGAAGAGCAUUGUUGGGGCGAUCCCACAAUCCUCUGCUGCACUGAUUACGUAGAUAGCCCUUGUUAAUAGGACCGUGCUAGCAACAGCGCAUUUAUGAUAGCAACCAUGGGGCACUGAGGUGACCACUGCCCUGACAUAUAAAUAUCCCUGCUGUUUCUGAUGGAGAAGCCACCAACCACACACAGAACAGGACCAAGGGACAUACAUCUCUCUGAUGUCAAGCUGCCUAGGCUGCCAGUGCAAAGGGCUUCAUGGGUGGGCACAUGACUGCAGGUCUGGAAAUGUAAAUGCAGUCAAUCCAUGCAGUGGAGAAGACCAUCUCUGGAGAGAUCCAUGGAGCCAGGGACCGGGUGGUUUGGGCUGAAAAUUAGUCAAUCCACUAGCUCUUAAAGAUUCAAAAUGUUGGGCUAAGAGACAGCACUGGCCACGAUGGUGCCAGCUUCUCCAGCCCCCCUGACCUUGCUCAGGCCCAGGCUGCCCUCCCAUGCCCUUGCUCUGCAGAGACCUCACAGUCCCAGCUCAUAGCACCCACAGUUCUUCCGCUUCCUGCCCUAUCAUGCACAUGUUCCCACCCAGGCUGGGGAGCUGUACGGCCUGAUGAAGAGGAUGUUAUUUUCCCCCUGUGAUAGCUGGCUGGCUUUGAAAUAUUGAAGAAUCCCCAGCCCUGAACAGACAUUUGUGUGCCUCUGUGCCUGGUUUGAACAGAUGCCCAAGAAUCUCAUGUUGGGUUUUGUCUUGCCACCCAUCACCACAAUACCUGAGCACCUGUCCUGUGAAAAUAAAAGCAGCAGCAAAUCCCUAGUUGGAUGUCAAAGAAUUUCUGGCAGUUUGAGGGGGGACACACAGGUAAAAGCUCUGCAUAGGGUAGGGGUUUGUAUUUUGUGUUUGAAAAUGACUUUUCUAGAUUGUUUUUCAAGGUUAGGUUGUUAGGUGUGUUCCUUUUGGGUAGAUGGAGUUGAAAAGGGUGGUAGCAUUGGGGUGUUAUCAGGUUAGGUUAAAUGGAAACAAGGCAAGAGUGCAGGUACAUGGAGUAUUUUGGGUGAGCUGCUCUGGAAUAGCAGUGUGUGUAAAGUAGGUUACACAUUUUUACGGUCCAUUUAUUUGCCCAUCCAUGCAUAUACACCCCUCCUCCCAAUUGUAAGGUUUCCUGUCCAUACCUUGCUCCUCUCCUGACCUGUUUCCUCACUAAACUCUUGUCCAGAGAAAGAAAUACUAUGGCCAGGGGAAAUGGUACAGAGCCCAAAGGACAACUUCUAGGCCGGACUGCAGUCCCCAGGCUUGAACAUGCUCCCCUGUGUAUAGGUCCCUCAGCUCAGGUGAUCUUUACUGGGUUACACCAAAUGCUCUUCCCCUACCUGGGGUAGAUUUGCCCCAAGCCUGAGGGAGUAGAACAGGCAGGGGCUUGCAAGCAGGACUGAGCAUUAUCUCCUUGAGCUCUGGGGUAGAGCACAAUACCACUGCAGCUUCAUGUGCUCCCAUCUCAGGCACACCACCACCCUCUUCUUUCAUCCCUUCUCUAAAUCACACUAGAAAAGGACAAUUUGUCACAUCAAAACAAGGUCAGCCUUAAAAACCCUAGUGAACCCUGCUCCCCCCCUUACCCCCACUCCCUGGACCUUCCUUAGAGCUGUGAAGUACUCUGUCCUUCUGUCUGGGACACCCACACUGAUGACUACACAGGCCUUAUAUUAUUUUUGGGAAUGGGGGAUGGAGAAGAAACUCAUUCUUGUGACCAUGCUCAAAAAUAAACCCAGCAAUGUUUCAGGGCAGAUGUGUCCCCAGAGCACCCACAGGACAGACAGCAGUGAGUACCACUGCUGUCCAUUUGUGUCCACCCCUAUCAGCCAGAGGCAGAGGAGAUGCUCUUUUACAGACAGGAUCAAAACAAUGCUAGUAGGAAACAUGUUUUCCACGUGGCUCGGAGAUCAGACCCUGUUCCACCAGAUCAACAUAAUGCCAAAGGUGCUCUCAGGAAUCAGCAUCUCAUCAUACUAGCAUUAUCACUCAGGAGAGGAGGUGACACAGAGGGAGUAUGCUAGAAAAGUCAUCCUCCCUCAUGGGAGCUGGGUAUAGCUGAGUAGGGAGACCAUGCCAGAGUGGUGAUCCACCACCGAACUCAUUCCUUUGGGGCAUAUGGCUGCUUUUGAUUUCUUUAGCUUUUUUGCAGGAGCAUGACUGCAUCCCCUUAUCUAUCUGAAAUGCUUUAAAGAGCAGGGACUCACAGCUGAGACAGCUAGAGCUGCCUUCUGCGAUAUAUGCCCCCCCUCCCCCCCGCAUGCAUUCCUCUUUCCUAUGAUUUAAGCUACAUUCAACCGCAGCCUGACUACAAAAUACUGCCAAGUAACUAAUAAGCUUUGGUAAGAUUGGAUUUUCCCCUCACAGUAGAGAACAGGAACAGGAGCAAAUCCAAAUGAUUUAUCCUUGCAUUUCAAAGGGCUUUGACCUAGAAAAAUGCAAAAGGAAUCCCACAAGUGGCUGGAAAAAGCGUAUUCCCAUUUUAUAAAAAAAAUGUGCAUUAUCCCCCCUCAUCUUAGCUGUGCUGAUGCCAUUCACAAAAGCUGGAGUGGAUGGUCUCCCUUUCACUGGCUAAAGAUCAGCUCAGGGAGCUA